CCUAUCCGCUGUGCGCGUAGGAAUAUUGAGAAGGGCUGUCCCUAGUACGAGAGGACCGGGACGGACGAACCUCUGGUGUGCCAGUUGUUCUGCCAAGGGCAUGGCUGGUUGGCUACGUUCGGGAGGGAUAACCGCUGAAAGCAUCUAAGCGGGAAGCCUGCUUCGAGAUGAGUGUUCCCACCUCCUUGAGAGGGUAAGGCUCCCAGUAGACGACUGGGUUGAUAGGCCGGAUAUGGAAGCCCUGUAAGGGGUGGAGUUGACCGGUACUAAUAGGCCGAGGGCUUGUCCUCAGUUG
rnacentral:rRNA from 1 species